rnacentral:rRNA from 1 species
CCUACGGGAGGCAGCAGUGAGGAAUAUUGGUCAAUGGACGCAAGUCUGAACCAGCCAUGCCGCGUGCAGGAAGACGGCUCUAUGAGUUGUAAACUGCUUUUGUACGAGGGUAAACGCAGAUACGCGUAUCUGUCUGAAAGUAUCGUAAGAAUAAGGAUCGGCUAACUUCGUGCCAGCAGCCGCGGUAAUACGGAGGAUUCAAGCGUUAUCCGGAUUUAGUGGGGUUAAAGGGUGCGUAGGCGGUCGGAUAAGUUAGAGGUGAAAUCCCGAGGCUCAACGUCGGAAUUGCCUCUGAUACUGUUCGGCUAGAGAGUAGUUGCGGUAGGCGGAAUGUAUGGGGUAGCGGUGAAAUGCUUAGAGAUCAUACAGAACACCGAUUGCGAAGGCAGCUUACCAAGCUACUUCUGACGUUGAGGCACGAAAGCGUGGGGAGUAAACAGGAUUAGAUACCCCUGUAGUC